rnacentral:sRNA from 1 species
CCGGGGCGGAAAGUGGGUCAGGGCCGGGCCGGCGGAGCGCGCAGCGGGGGCUACAGAUUCUUUCCACCAUGGCCAGACGCCCCCGGAACAGCAGGGCCUGGCACUUCGUCCUGAGUGCAGCCCGCCGAGACGCAGAUGCCCGGGCCGUGGCUCUAGCAGGCUCCACCAACUGGGGCUACGACUCUGAUGGGCAGCACAGUGACUCGGACUCCGACCCCGAGUACUCCACGCUGCCGCCAUCCAUCCCCAGUGCGGUGCCCGUGACCGGCGAGUCCUUCUGUGACUGUGCUGGGCAGGGUGAGGCCUCCUCCUGUAGCAGCCUGCACGCGGCCCACCGGGGCAAGGACUGCCGCUGCGGAGAGGAAGACGAGUGUGAGCGUGGGGCCCAGCCCCUGCUGGGACUGCACUGCGGGUGGGCCUGGGAGCGGGCAGGGCAGAGCCCCAUGGAGCUCUCGGGGCUGCCCCAGCCUGGGCCUCUCUUGCAGAUUUCGACUGGGUCUGGGAUGACUUGAAUAAGUCAUCAGCUACCCUGCUGAGCUGUGACAACCGUAAGGUCAGCUUCCACAUGGAGUACAGCUGCGGCACAGCGGCCAUCCGGGGCACCAAGGAGCUGGGGGAGGGCCAGCACUUCUGGGAGAUCAAGAUGACCUCACCCGUCUAUGGCACCGACAUGAUGGUGGGCAUCGGGACGUCGGAUGUGGACCUGGACAAAUACCGCCACACGUUCUGCAGCCUGCUGGGCAGGGAUGAGGACAGCUGGGGCCUCUCCUACACGGGUGCGUGAGGCCCAGGGUGGGGCGGGGCUGAGCCUGGAGCUCCUGGGCUCACUGCAACCCCGGCUGCCCCCAGGCCUCCUCCACCACAAGGGCGACAAGACCAGCUUCUCGUCGCGGUUUGGCCAGGGCUCCAUCAUUGGCGUACACCUGGACACCUGGCAUGGCACGCUCACCUUUUUCAAGAAUAGGAAGUGCAUAGGUGUGGCAGCCACCAAGCUGCAGAACAAGAGGUUCUACCCGAUGGUGUGCUCCACGGCGGCCCGGAGCAGCAUGAAGGUCACCCGCUCCUGCGCCAGCGCCACCUCCCUCCAGUACCUCUGCUGCCACCGCCUGCGCCAGCUGCGGCCAGACUCGGGGGACACGCUGGAGGGUCUGCCGCUGCCGCCAGGCCUCAAGCAGGUGCUACACAACAAGCUGGGCUGGGUCCUGAGCAUGAGUUGCAGCCGCCGCAAGGCUCCAGUGUCCGAUCCCCAGGCAGCGACCUCGGCCCACCCCAGCAGUCGUGAGCCUCGGCCCUGCCAGAGGAAGCGCUGCCGUCGGACCUGACUGACUUCCCAGUGGAACUGCCUUCUCAGGCUGGGACAGCCGUUUUCUCUAUCCCUUCCUUCCAGCCACACUCCAGGGCGGAGUUGGAUGAGGCCCGUCCGGAGGGAGCCAUCUCUUGCUCCCAAGGCUGGGACAGUCCUUUCUGUGGGGGCUCUAGGGCCCCUCUGCUGCUGUGCUGGGUGGGGAAGCGGCUGCCCUGAGCCCCAGGUCUUGUGGGAGGCCGCGAGGAGAGCCUGGCUGGAGCCCGCGUUGCUGUUCCCACAGGGCCUCGGGUUUUUCGUAACUUGCUCUGCAUGCUGUCAGCGGCUGCCCCGCCGUCAUAGACUUAAAGGACUGCAAUAAAUGUAGAAUUGAUGUCUGA